rnacentral:rRNA from 1 species
UACGUCGGGUGCGAGCGUUGUCCGGAAUUAUUGGGCGUAAAGGGCUCGUAGGCGGUUUGUCGCGUCGGGAGUGAAAACCAUGGGCUUAACUCAUGGCUUGCUUUCGAUACGGGCAGACUAGAGGUAUGCAGGGGAGAACGGAAUUCCUGGUGUAGCGGUGAAAUGCGCAGAUAUCAGGAGGAACACCGGUGGCGAAGGCGGUUCUCUGGGCAUGACCUGACGCUGAGGAGCGAAAGUGUGGGGAGCGAACAGG